ensembl:snRNA U4 U4 spliceosomal RNA
AGCUUUGCACAGCAGCAGUGUUGUAGCCAAUGAGAUUUAUCCGAGGUGUGAUUAUUGCUAAUUGAAAACUUUUCCCAAUACCCUGCCAUGAUGACUUGCAAUAUAGUCGGCAUUGGCAAUGUUUGACAGUCUCUGUACAGA